rnacentral:rRNA from 1 species
UACGAAGGGGCGAGCGUUGUUCGGAAUCACUGGGCGUAAAGGGCGCGUAGGCGGCCCUCUUAGUCGCGUGUGAAAGCCCCGGGCUCAACCUGGGGAACGGCGCGCGAAACGGGAGGGCUGGAGUUCGGGAGAGGAGAGUGGGAAUUCCCGAGCGUAGAGGUGAAAUUCGAUAGAUAUUGGGAAGAACACCGGUGGCGAAGGCGGCU